ACUCCUACGGGAGGCAGCAGUAGGGAAUCUUCCGCAAUGGACGCAAGUCUGACGGAGCAACGCCGCGUGAGUGAAGAAGGUUUUCGGAUCGUAAAACUCUGUUGUCAGUGAAGAACAAGCGGGACAGGAACUGGUCCCGCCGUGACGGUAGCUGACCAGAAAGCCACGGCUAACUACGUGCCAGCAGCCGCGGUAAUACGUAGGUGGCAAGCGUUGUCCGGAUUUAUUGGGCGUAAAGCGAGCGCAGGCGGUCCCUUAAGUCUGAUGUGAAAGCCCACGGCUCAACCGUGGAAGGUCAUUGGAAACUGGGGACUUGAGGGCAGAAGAGGAGAGUGGAAUUCCAUGUGUAGCGGUGAAAUGCGUAGAUAUAUGGAGGAACACCAGUGGCGAAGGCGACUCUCUGGUCUGUUACUGACGCUGAGGCUCGAAAGCGUGGGGAGCAAACAGGAUUAGAUACCCUGGUAGCUACGA
rnacentral:rRNA from 1 species